GACGAACGCUGGCGGCGUGCCUAAUACAUGCAAGUUGAGCGCUGAAGGUUGGUACUUGUACCAACUGGAUGAGCAGCGAACGGGUGAGUAACGCGUGGGGAAUCUGCCUUUGAGCGGGGGACAACAUUUGGAAACGAAUGCUAAUACCGCAUAAAAACUUUAAACACAAGUUUUAAGUUUGAAAGAUGCAAUUGCAUCACUCAAAGAUGAUCCCGCGUUGUAUUAGCUAGUUGGUGAGGUAAAGGCUCACCAAGGCGAUGAUACAUAGCCGACCUGAGAGGGUGAGCGGCCAAAUUGGGACUGAGACACGGCCCAAACUCCUACGGGAGGGAGCAGGAGGGAAUCUUUGGCAAUGGACGAAAGUCUGACCGAGCAACGCCGCGUGAGUGAAGAAGGUUUUCGGAUCGUAAAACUCUGUUGGUAGAGAAGAACGUUGGUGAGAGUGGAAAGCUCAUCAAGUGACGGUAACUACCCAGAAAGGGACGGCUAACUACGUG
rnacentral:rRNA from 1 species